UACGUAGGGUGCGAGCGUUAAUCGGAAUUACUGGGCGUAAAGCGUGCGCAGGCGGUUUUGUAAGACAGGCGUGAAAUCCCCCGAGCUCAACUUUGGGAAUUGCGCUUGUGACUGCAAGGCUAGAGUGUGUCAGAGGGGGGGGUAGAAUUCCACGUGUAGCAGUGAAAUGCGUAGAUAUCAGGAGGAACACCGGUGGCGAAGGCGCUCAUCUGGCCCCAAUACUGACGCUGAGGCGCGAAAGCUAGGGGGAGCAAACGGGG
rnacentral:rRNA from 1 species